rnacentral:lncRNA from 1 species
AUUAUGAAGAACUGGACUUUGACAUCUGAGUCUUGGAAUUCUGGGUAGAGCAAGGAGAGGAGCAGUGGCCUGGGUCUCUGUUUUCAAAACACUCGGACCUGUCUUUUUCUGAGUGGAAAAAUCAUGGGCCCGAAACCGAAAGCCCAACCUGCUCAGGGUGCUCCACCUGCCCCGGGUGCUCCACCUGCCCGGGGUGCUCCACCUGCCCGGGGUGCUCGGCCUGCCCGGGGUGCUCCGCCUGCCCGGGGUGCUCGGCCUGCCCCGGGUGCUCCGCCUGCCCGGGGUGCUCGGCCUGCCCCGGGUGCUCCGCCUGCCCGGGGUGCUCGGCCUGCCCCGGGUGCUCCGCCUGCCCGGGGUGCUCCACCUGACCCAGAUAGGAGUCCUAAACAGACGCCUGAAGAACUGGCCUUUUAUGCUCCGAAUUAUUUAUGUUUGACUCUCUUGGCUAUAGUUUUUUGCCCUCCCUUGGGACUCAUAAGUGUCUACUUCUGCUAUAAGACUUCAGUUGCCAACUGGAACAGCAACUGGGAAGAAGCUUAUACCAACUCAGGCCGAACUGGCUGUGUGGAUGUAUUCGCCAUACUCAUUGGUUUGGGCCUCCUUUACGGAUAUAUCCUAUUUUACUGAAGGCCAAGAACAGAGUGCCAGGGUUUUACAACCCAACAAACCCACCCACUAAGACACUGACCAGCCACCAUGCAAGAAACUCAACAGCUGAUUCAUCCCCUAGCCAAGAAACUUGCCACCAACCAAGGAACACAACAUCCAAGCAACCCAGCACCCUAGGAACAACUAGGCCCCUGCCUGUACCACAUCAGCUCACCUGGCCUCCAGAGGAAUCUUCAUUCACCUUGGGAUCCACACAUCAGCACCUGACAUCCUCUUAUUUCCUUAACACUGGGCUGCUCUCUCAGAAAAAAAAUUAAACCAAUAAAACUGAAAAGAAUGUU